AACGCGAAGAACCUUACCUGGGCUCGAAAUGUAGUGGACUGGGGUAGAAAUAUCCCUUCCUAGCAAUAGGUCGCUAUAUAGGUGCUGCAUGGCUGUCGUCAGCUCGUGUCGUGAGAUGUUGGGUUAAGUCCCGCAACGAGCGCAACCCUUAUCUCCAGUUGCCAUCAUUCAGUUGGGCACUCUGGCGAAACCGCCUCGGAUAACGGGGAGGAAGGUGGGGAUGACGUCAAGUCCUCAUGGCCUUUAUGUCCAGGGCUACACACGUGCUACAAUGGCCGGUACAGACCGUUGCCAACCUGCGAAGGGGAGCCAAUCGGUAAAAACCGGUCUACAGUUCGGAUUGCAGUCUGCAACUCGACUGCAUGAAGCUGGAAUCGCUAGUAAUCGCGUAUCAGAACGACGCGGUGAAUACGUUCCCGGGCCUUGGUACACACCGACAUA
rnacentral:rRNA from 1 species